ACACAUUAAAUACACAAACACUAACAAAAACUGACGAGCAAAAAAAGGUUUUAAGUAAAUUUACGAUUUUGUGUUGGGCCACAUUCAUAGCCACCCUGGGCUGCAUGUGACCCACGGGCUGCUGGUUGGACACUCCUUGGUAGUAUAGAAU